AAUAACCGAACAUGAGUGAAGAAUAUUUUUGACAGGACACACAGUUUUGAUCCGCUUGAAAAAGUUUGUAUUUCUUCUCGCAGGAUUCUGAUAGUUAUUAUGCUCAAUUUCUUCCAUUAUUACCGUAGCUGCUACUCCGUGACUGUCCAAUGGCAUUAGUUUGUGGUGUUCAAAACUAUUAAACUGAAGCCUAUGAAGCUUAACAUUCGGACUGGCAGUACAGUUGGAAUCCCCUAUUAUAUGAAGAAUAUACUCGAAGUAAAAAGGAAUUGAACUUCACCAGUUCUCGGAUAUUAGUGAAUUUAUUAACGAAUGCAACUAUUAUAAAAGUAAAAUAAAAAUAUGGAAAUUUAA